rnacentral:rRNA from 1 species
UACGUAGGUGGCGAGCGUUGUCCGGAUUUACUGGGCGUAAAGGGCGCGUAGGCGGCCACCGCAAGUCGACUGUGAAAUCUCCGGGCUUAACCCGGAAAGGUCAGCCGAUACUGCGGGGCUAGAGUGCAGAAGGGGCAAUCGGAAUUCUUGGUGUAGCGGUGAAAUGCGUAGAUAUCAAGAGGAACACCUGAGGUGAAGACGGGUUGCUGGGCUGACACUGACGCUGGAGGCGCGAAAGCCAGGGGAGCAAACGGG